rnacentral:rRNA from 1 species
UAGGGAAUCUUCGGCAAUGGACGAAAGUCUGACCGAGCAACGCCGCGGGAGUGAAGAAGGUUUUCGGAUCGUAAAACUCUGUUGUUAGAGAAGAACAAGGACGUUAGUAACUGAACGUCCCCUGACGGUAUCUAACCAGAAAGCCACGGCUAACUACGUGCCAGCAGCCGCGGUAAUACGUAGGGGGCAAGCGUUGUCCGGAUUUAUUGGGCGUAAAGCGAGCGCAGGCGGUUUCUUAAGUCUGUUGUGAAAGCCCCCGGCUCAACCGGGGAGGGUCAUUGGAAACUGGGAGACUUGAGUGCAGAAGAGGAGAGUGGAAUUCCAUGUGUAGCGGUGAAAUGCGUAGAUAUAUGGAGGAACACCAUUGGCGAAGGCGGCUCUCUGGUCUGUACCUGACGCUGAGUCUCGAAAGCGUGGGGAGCAAACAGG